UUGUAAAAUAGCGGCGCAGAUUCCUGAUUGGAUGAAAUCACAACGGCGUGCCAAUCCCUGUGUUACCCGUCUCGUUACAUUAUUAGUCCCAGUAUAAAUUUGGUCACGGCGAAUAUAGCAGGUGUGUAUCAACGGAAUUGUCUGAUAUCGAGUAACUUCAGUCAAACAAGUUUAGUUAAAUUUUGUGAAAUGAACAGAAGUUUGUGUAGAGAAAACGCUCUACUUGUUAAAGCAUAAUAUUGUUACAAACCUAAUAAAAUCAGCAUAAUGGCUACAAUAAUGAAGGAAGAAUCAUCAGAUGUAGAUUUGAACGGGGAUAAAGGUGACAAGUUUUGUGUUCAAUCAGAGACAGAGUCUACACAUAACUCCGAGGAUACUCGCACACCAUCUUUACAAAAUCAGCAAGAUACCACACAACCAAAUCGAAUGUCACAGGUUAAAUUUUGUUGUUAAUUGCAUGUGCCGAUAUCUUUUGUUUAUCCAGAAUCAUGCUUAUUUUCAUGAAAAUUCUGAAAAUGUAUCCAAAAGUAAAUUAUUGACAAGUACAUAGCCAUAGGCACUUUCAAUUCAAGUAAAUUACCAAAAAAUUUAAUUGGUAAGGUUAAUAUAUUUAAUGAUACUAUUUCUAACGACUCUUUGGAUAUAGACACUGA